CAGCCUGUAUACCUCCGUCGCCAGCUUACCGCGUGAGCGCCAUUAAGNNNNNNNNAUGCCCAUACGCCAACACGUCAGGUCAAGGUGCAGCUAAUGAGAUGGGAAGAGAUGGGCUACACUUUCUACCAUAGAAAAAACGAAAGACUACCUAUGAAAUCUAGUCAGAAGGAGGAUUUAGUAGUAAAAAGAAAACAGAGUGUUCUUUUUAAUCCGGCACUGGGGUGUGUACACACCGCCCGUCACCCUCUUCAAGGCCCAAUCAAAGUACAUAACCAAACUUUGCCACAUAGAAGAGGCAAGUCGUAACAUGGUAAGUAUACCGGAAGGUGUGCUUGGAAA
rnacentral:rRNA from 1 species